GUACAACUGAAGAGUCCCUUGAUAGGACGAAACAACUGUCCAGUAC
rnacentral:hammerhead_ribozyme from 1 species